rnacentral:rRNA from 1 species
AUUGAACGCUGGCGGCAGGCCUAACACAUGCAAGUCGAGCGGAUGAAGGGAGCUUGCUCCUGGAUUCCGCGGCGGACGGGUGAGUAAUGCCUAGGAAUCUGCCUGGUAGUGGGGGAUAACGUCCGGACACGGGCGCUAAUACCGCAUACGUCCUGAGGGAGAAAGUGGGGGAUCUUCGGACCUCACGCUAUCAGAUGAGCCUAGGUCGGAUUAGCUAGUUGGUGGGGUAAAGGCCUACCAAGGCGACGAUCCGUAACUGGUCUGAGAGGAUGAUCAGUCACACUGGAACUGAGACACGGUCCAGACUCCUACGGGAGGCAGCAGUGGGGAAUAUUGGACAAUGGGCGAAAGCCUGAUGCAGCCAUGCCGCGUGUGUGAAGAAGGUCUUCGGAUUGUAAAGCACUUUAAGUUGGGAGGAAGAGCAGUAAGUUAAUACCUUGCUGUUUUGACGGUACCAACAGAAUAAGCACCGGCUAACUUCGUG